GCCCCCGUAGCUCAGUGGAUAGAGCAUCUGCCUUCUAAGCAGCCGGUCGAAGGUUCGAAUCCUUUCGGGGGCG
rnacentral:tRNA from 1 species